rnacentral:rRNA from 1 species
UGAGGAAUUUUGCGCAAUGGCCGCAAGGCUGACGCAGCAACGCCGCGUGGGUGAUGAAGGCCUUCGGGUCGUAAAGCCCUGUCAGGUGGGAAGAAAGGCCUGGAGAGGAAAGGUUUCAGGUUUGACGGUACCACCAGAGGAAGCACCGGCUAACUCCGUGCCAGCAGCCGCGGUAAUACGGAGGGUGCGAGCGUUAUUCGGAAUUACUGGGCGUAAAGCGCGUGUAGGCGGGGGGACAAGUCUGAUGUGAAAGCCCUGGGCUUAAC